CUAAUAUUCACAUUUUGAAAAUAAACUCAGCAUUCCUCUCAAACUUGUAUAAUUGAUUCUUAGCAAGCAGAGCAGAGCGUACAAGAGUCGACCACAACUUUUGAAGAAUUAGCAAGAGUUCAGGAAAUAUAUACCACUCACUUCAAAGUUUAAAGAACCCAUUUGAAGUAAAGCUCCAAAUUUCGUACAAGUGAUAGUACCUGAGAUCUCAACAAGAGGCUACAAUAUAGUACACAAAGUCUUUUAAAGUGAGGUCUAUACUUGAUGAACACUCAUAAUGGAUAACUGAUGUUCGCUUUAGCCCAAGGACAUUAAAGGAUCGCAACACUUCAGGUGAUGGGACUGUCAAGGUUUGGGAUGUUGAUAAACAUGGCCAAUCACUUCAGACUUUCACCCUAGUAAAGAUGAUCUCAUUUGUGCUCUUCUGAUAAGUAUCGAGAUCAGGUACUGGAACAUUAAAAGUGGUAGUUGUGUUGGCAUU